rnacentral:rRNA from 1 species
UACGUAGGGUCCGAGCGUUGUCCGGGAUUAUUGGGCGUAAAGGGCUCGUAGGCGGUUUGUCGCGUCGGCUGUGAAAACUCAGGGCUUAACCCUGAGCGUGCUUCCGAUACGGGCAGACUAGAGGUAUGUAGGGGAGAACGGAAUUCCUGGUGUAGCGGUGGAAUGCGCAGAUAUCAGGAGGAACACCGGUGGCGAAGGCGGUUCUCUGGGCAUUACCUGACGCUGAGGAGCGAAAGCAUGGGGAGCGAACAGG